rnacentral:misc_RNA from 1 species
CAAAACGUCUGAAAGGCAGGGGAGCCAAUUGGAGCUCUUCUACAUAAAGAAAUAUCUACUCACCUGCACAUCAAUUCUUGCUAGGAGGAAGAAGAAGAAGAAGAAGAAGAAGAAGAAGAAGAAGAUGGUGUCCAACUCGAUUGAUUUGUUGAAGCAGGAGCUUCCUGUCCAACAAGAUUCUUUGCUUCUCAACGGCGAUGUUAAGACUGGGCUUGUUCUUGUCGAUGUUGUUAAUGGUUUCUGUACUGUCGGCGCUGGCAAUUUGGCACCAAAACAGCCUGACAAGCAAAUUUCUACGAUGGUUGAGGAGUCUGUGAGGCUUGCCAGAGCUUUCUGUGACAAUAAAUGGCCAGUUUUCGGUUUUAUUGAUUCUCAUCAUCCUGACAUUCCCGAGCACCCUUACCCUCCUCACUGUAUUGCUGGAACUGAUGAGGCAAGACUUGUUCCAGAACUCCAGUGGUUGGAGAAUGAAGCUAAUGCCACCCUAAGGUGCAAGGAUUGCAUUGAUGGGUUCCUGGGUUGCAUUGAGAAAGAUGGCUCCAAUGUGUUUGUAGAUUGGAUAAAGAAUAAUCAGAUUAAAAUUAUACUGGUAGUAGGGAUAUGCACGGAUAUAUGCGUGCUGGAUUUUGUUUGUUCAGCACUAUCUGCUAGAAAUAGGGGUUUUCUUGCUCCUCUAGAGGACGUGAUUGUGUUCUCUCAAGCUUGUGCAACCUUUGACCUGCCACUUCAUGUUGCCAGAGCUGCCAAAGAUGUUAUAGCACAUCCACAGGAGCUGAUGCAUCACAUAGGCCUGUACAUGGCCAAGGGAAGGGGAGCCAAGGUAGUCUCAGAGGUGUCUUUUGGUGCACUGCAAUGUCCGUCAUCUUAGCCCAUCCAUCACAGCCGGCAUUGAGGUUUUUUUUUUUUAUGAAAAUAUAUUUUAAUUGAGUACCUUCUUAUCUACAAGAUAUAANNNNNNNUGAGUACCUAAUUGCUCAGAAUACACUUGAAUAUAACCAACUUUUAAAGAGAAACUAUUUAUAGCAUCAUAUCUUUCCACAUACAAAAAAACCUCAAUGCCGG